rnacentral:rRNA from 1 species
GUGAGGAAUAUUGGUCAAUGGACGGAAGUCUGAACCAGCCAAGUAGCGUGCAGGAUGACGGCCCUAUGGGUUGUAAACUGCUUUUAUGCGGGGGUAAAGUGAGUGACGUGUCAUUCAUUGCAAGUACCGCAAGAAUAAGGACCGGCUAAUUCCGUGCCAGCAGCCGCGGUAAUACGGAAGGUCCUGGUGUUAUCCGGAUUUAUUGGGUUUAAAGGGAGCGUAGGCCGUCAGGCAAGCGUGUUGUGAAAUGUCGUGGCUCAACCAUGGACUUGCAGCGCGAACUGCCCGACUUGAGUGCGCGGAAAGCAGGCGGAAUUUGUGGUGUAGCGGUGAAAUGCUUAGAUAUCACGAAGAACCCCGAUUGCGAAGGCAAUCCCCUGGGCCUGCACUGACGCUCAUGCACGAAAGCGUGGGGAGCAAACAGGAUUAGAAACCCCUGUAGUCC